AAAUUAAAAAAUAAAAAAAAUAAAAAUAAAAUAAAAACUUGUUCUACUAGUAACACUUUGCAGCAGUCUUUUUUUGUUGUUGUUUGAUUUCUUAUCAAUUUUUCCUCAA
rnacentral:ribozyme from 14 species